rnacentral:lncRNA from 15 species
ACACUUGGUAAAGUUCAUCUCUUUCUAGAUGGAGAAGCAGCAAAGUCAGAAAAAUAGGAAUAGGUUCUGUGAUAGUUGACUGUUGAGACUUCUGGGCGUAAAUACGGGAGGCUCAGAAUGGAGAAGCAAUCAUAGAAGGACCAUCAAAAAAACAAAAUUACACACGUGUCUGCAUUUGGGUUCGAUCCAGACUUUGAAAAACACUUAAGCAGAUCAAACAUCCCGUUCUGCAGCUGGGACGUCCAGCAGAAGAAACAGCAGACAGGAGCACAUUGAACUGGAAUUGAUACUCAAUUAGGAGUUGCUUUAAUGGGCAGAAAAGAUGUUUUUUCCUGUUUACCUUCAACUGCAGCUGAUCUGUUCAGGAGGUUCCGUAGCUGAAAAGUCGCAGGUUCGAUCCCUGCAGUCUCUUUCCUAUUCAUCCCUGUCGAAUGAAAUGAGGCUGCGGGCCGACCUCUGACCUUUCCAGUGAAACAACUACAGUUUAAGGUACACACUGUUUUUCACAUGGUAAUGAUUAAACUGCUCUGAAACGAUUGAAAGUAAUGUUGAAAUUCUGUCCACGUGGCUCCAUUGAAGACAAUGCUAAUUAAUUCUGAUGUCCAUGGGGCAAUACAGGUCAUUGAUUCACAACAGUUAGCGGUCCAACAAUACAAAAAUAUUCCCUAUUGGUAAAGAAGUCCAACAGCUUAUACUAAUGAAGCUUAUUAGUCACGGCUAGUCAUGGAGUUUUGAUCGAGACUGAAAGAUCUCAACAACUAUACAUGUUAGGUAUUCCGUACGGUGGCCGACAAGGGUGAACGCGCCGCAAAUGGCAAAAUGCUGCAAACACGGGAAUGAUGCAAAUCCAAAAACACACAAACCCAUAAAACAAAUAACAGGGUUUGUAAGUUUUUGCUUCUGCUUCGUUUCUGUGAUUGCAGCAUUUUUCUGUUGCUGCG